rnacentral:rRNA from 1 species
AACGAACGCUGGCGGCGUGCCUAACACAUGCAAGUCGAGCGCGAAAGUUCCUUCGGGAGCGAGUAGAGCGGCGGACGGGUGAGUAAUACAUAGGUAAUCUACCUUCGAGCUUGGGAUAACCCCGCGAAAGUGGGGCUAAUACAGGAUAAGAACACGUAAUUAUUUUACGGGGUAAAAGGUGGCUUAUUUUUUAUAUGAGCUAUCAAUUGAGGAUGAGCCUGUGGCCUAUCAGCUAGGUGGCGGGGUAAGGGCCCACCAAGGCUAUGACGGGUAGCUGGUCUGAGAGGACGACCAGCCACACUGGGACUGAGACACGGCCCAGACUCCUACGGGAGGCAGCAGUGGGGAAUAUUGGGCAAUGGGCGAAAGCCUGGCCCAGCGACGCCGCGUGGGCGAUGAAGGCCUUCGGGUUGUAAAGCCCUGUCAUGCGGAAAGAACGACCCUGAGACGCAUACUCUCAGGGAGUGACGGUACCGCAGGAGGAAGCACCGGCUAACUCCGUGCCAGCAGCCGCAGUAA